UGAUAAAUGGAUUGAAUUUGUUCCGUCCUUAAACCAAAUUCGUAUUUUUUUAUUGAAAAAUUUUUUUCAAAAACUUGUGGAUCU
rnacentral:tRNA from 1 species